rnacentral:rRNA from 1 species
UACGUAGGGUGCGAGCGUUGUCCGGAAUUAUUGGGCGUAAAGAGCUCGUAGGCGGUCUGUCGCGUCGAUCGUGAAAACUUGGGGCUUAACCCUGAGCUUGCGGUCGAUACGGGCAUGACUGGAGUUCGGCAGGGGAGACUGGAAUUCCUGGUGUAGCGGUGAAAUGCGCAGAUAUCAGGAGGAACACCGGUGGCGAAGGCGGGUCUCUGGGCCGAUACUGACGCUGAGGAGCGAAAGCGUGGGGAGCGAGCAGG